CUCUUUUACCAAGCCCGACUGAGUCUGCGGUAGUUUGCAGAGCUGCGGCGUGGACCUCGACUGUAAUAGGAGGCAACCAGUGGCAGUCAAGUCCCGCUGUCGUCUUUGCCGCGCUGCAGUUAUACUCUGGGAAAAAAUGCAGCGAGACAGCAGCGCGCCGCUGAAGACCCGCUCAUUAAUUUAUGAAUGGCCUGCAGGCCUGGAGGCACGCGCCGCUCCGCUCAUCCCCGCCGCUGACCAAUGCCAUCGGGCGCCUCGGGCCCUGCUGCUCUCGCACGUCCACGCCAGGCAAUUUCCACACCGUUCCGCAUAAUUCUAGAAGCCUCUCUCUCUCUCUCUCUUUCUCUCUCUCUCGCUUGAGUGCUACGCCACAUUGUAUCUCACGCCUGUUUUUUUCCUUCUGUAAUGGACAUGAGCCUGAUGAAGUGUU